rnacentral:rRNA from 1 species
UCUGGCCCCCUCCGGGGUCCGAGUUGUAAUUUGGAGAGGAUGCUUCGGGUGCGGUCCCCGUCUAAGUGCCCUGGAACGGGCCGUCAUAGAGGGUGAGAAUCCCGUCUGGGAUGGGCGGCCGCGCCCGUGUGAAGCUCCUUCGACGAGUCGAGUUGUUUGGGAAUGCAGCUCUAAGCGGGUGGUAAAUUUCAUCUAAAGCUAAAUACUGGCCGGAGACCGAUAGCGCACAAGUAGAGUGAUCGAAAGAUGAAAAGCACUUUGAAAAGAGAGUUAAACAGCACGUGAAAUUGUUGAAAGGGAAGCGUUGGCCACCAGACGCGCCCGGGGGGGUUCAGCCGGCACUCGUGCCGGUGCACUCCCUCCCGGGUGGGCCAGCAUCGGUUUGGGCGGUCGCUGAAAGGCCCGAGGAAUGUAGCACCCUCCGGGGUGCCUUAUAGCCUCGGGUGUCAUGCGGCCCGCCUGGACCGAGGCCCGCGCUUCGGCGAGGAUGCUGGCGUAAUGGUGGUCAACGGCCCGUCUUGAAACACGGACCAAGGAGUCUAACAUCUAUGCGAGUGUUCGGGUGUCAAACCCGUCCGCGCAGUGAAAGCGAACGCAGGUGGGAACCCCCCUCCGGGGGCGCACCAUCGACCGAUCCUGA